AUCUUUUUGUAGUUUAUAAGCAUGAUGAUUAGGUGUUUACAUGUGUGUGUGAGACAGGCCUCCCUCAAAUCUUGUUAUAACACUGGCAUAUUACCCAUCUGAGG